AAUAAUUUGGCUAUCUUCUUGAUAGAAUCUCUACUCUUUGUAUCCCUUGUGAUGGAUUCCUUUAUCUCCAAUAAGGCAAGGAGGAUUCUGUGAGUACCAAGCAGAUCAGCAGCCAUUCCUGAAAACACCAGUUUGGAAGAGUAUGAAGGCAGGUGACAAUCGAUAUUGGGUUGACACUGAAUCAAGAAUCAAGUCGUGACCUCUGGCAACCUCCAUAUGCUAGCAGAUAGCUGAAUUGGAGGAAGCUUGGUUAAGUCUAUCCUCAGCACCCAUUACUCAUUUCAGAGCCUUAACUACAGAACACCUCUGAGGAAGAAAAUUUGUGAGUAGCUGCCAGGCUCUCUCUCCUUGUGCUUAUGAAGCAAGCUUCAUACUUUUUUAGUAGAAACAGGAGAUGCCAUCUAAAACGGAAGAAAAGGUAGUAGUGCAAUGGCUGACAAGCUGUGUGUGAAGCUGAAGGGUAAGCCGGGUGCAAGGGCAGCAAUGCAAAAGCUGCGAAGUUGGAGAUCGUUGGCAGGACGUAUGCCGUGUCGCUAUUUGUUUAACAAACUCAAGGAAAGAUCAGGGAAGUGCAUCCAUCAACCAAUCGGAGAGGCAAAUCUGGUUGGUUUAAUGAAACAAGAAGCCAGCCUAAUAACAUGUGAAGCAGAUAUUCCACACAGGUUUUGCCGGGAUUGAAGAUAUCAAGGUUUUGGACUUGGCAACCUCUCUCUUGUGUGAUAGAUAAGCUAGGCCAUACAUAUCUUCACAUGUUGGUAGUUUGCAGUAGAGAUCUGAAGAUACCAGGGGCCCACAGCCAUGAUUUAUCCUAUGCUGUCCAUCCUCGUUACAAUCCCGACUCUGGGAUCUGCCCACAGCCUCAGAAAAGUAAAUUGGCGUUUAAGCAUCCAUUGUUCUUGGACGGCUGGAUCUCAAAGCCAGGAUCUUGCUAAUUCAUUCAUCCCACCGACACAGAUACACAUGGAAAUGACGCUAUUGCCUUCUCUGAUGCUACUGCACUGGCACUGGGGAUGGAAUCAAACGCAUGGAUCCCAAAUCAGGAGGACCAGGCAUCAGCAGCAGCCAAAUAAUGUGAUGCCGCCAUGUUUGCAUCUGCACUGGCCAUGGCCAGCACGAGCACCAUCAAACUGGCUGGCUGGCUGGCCGGCCGGCCGUGGCUCACAUGCACAUCAGCUGCUGGCCGCUAGCACCGGCCGGCCGGCCAAGGCAAUUUGCAAGCUCCACUCCAGUCAGAUCUAUAUCUACUUGCAGAUGCAGAUCAGGUUUGCUUGUCAGUGGAGAGCAGUUUUCGUGCGCUUUCUCGGUUCAAGUCCUUAUCUCUUUUUUUUUCUUUCUUUCCUCCUCUCAAGUGGAUUACAAGUAGUGGCAUGGUAAGCGAUUCCUUUUGUG